GUGCUUGCUUUGGCAGCACAUAUACUAAAAUUGGAAUGAUACAGAUAAGAUUAGCAUGGCCCCUGCAAA
rnacentral:snRNA from 1 species